UACUGAACUCAAACGUGUAUAUGGUUAACUAGGGAUUGGUUGUUGACUUACAUUAAUGCAGGUUCCCGUUAUUUGAAGCUAGAUCAUGGCAGGAGGCCAAGUCUAACUUAGUAACGGUUUGCUUAGCCUUAGCUUUUAUUCCAUGCUAGGCUAGAUUGAUUGUUAUUUUGGGUUGUCUGGGUUAGGGUCUAUGUUGCGGGUAGAGGCCGCCAGCUCACUGAGUAACAUUAGGUUACUCACCCAACUCCGUUGUCCUUUUUGCAGGUCGUUUUAGGUAAGGAUGAUCGGAUAGCUUGGUGCUGGACGUUAGGACCGCCAGUGUAGAUUUUCAUGCCUUUUGCAAACGCUAUUGUGAAUUGUGUUAAGUUGACUCGAUUUGGCAUUAGGCCGGGCCCAGUCUUGAAUUAUU
rnacentral:lncRNA from 1 species